rnacentral:misc_RNA from 1 species
AAGUCGUAACAAGGUCUCCGUUGGUGAACCAGCGGAGGGAUCAUUACAGAGUUCUCGCGACUCCCAUCAACCCCUUGUGAACAUACCCUAUUGUUGCCUCGGCGGCGGUACUCGUGACCCCGCCGGCGGCCCCUUACCAACAAACCCUGUCAGUACAACUUGAAUUCUGAACUUAUAACCAAAAAUACGUUAAAACUUUCAACAACGGAUCUCUUGGUUCUG